CACCAACUUCUGGAGCUUACUCAAACUUCUGCCUUCAAAUACAUGAUAUUCCUUUUACCAGAGGUGCCCAGAAACACUCUUGAUGGUGCUCACAGCCAACAGCGCUUCCUUUUUCCUGAGGGUUGGCAUUCAAGAAAAAGAAACUCUCAUCAGCCUUUGGCUUCCUUACAGCUUCAAAGAGGCAGCGAUAUGCACAGCCCAGGGAAAGCAGCCUUGGCUGAAGAGGAGGAAACAUUCCCAAAGUUAUUCUAUGAAGCCACCAUUACCCUGAUACCAAAACCAGACAAAGACAUCGACAAAAAAAUUUUUUACAAGACUGUAUGAAGUUGCAAACUGUUUCCUAACGCUGGAAGACAUGGUGAUGUAAUACCUACAACUAUCAGGGGCGCUAAAACAGCAAUAACAGUGCCCUCGUCUGCCUGGAAUACAGAAGGAUGGCUGAACAAACACAGAAGAAUGCAACUUUCUAAGAAAAGUCUGCUGGGAACUAGUUCCCACAUUGUUUCUGCCUCUAGGAAGAAAAGCCUGUGACUUGCUUUCUGCCUGACUCCUUAAUGGUCAGUGGAUUCUCUGUUGGGGGAACCUAGAUUUGGACACAUUAGGAGCUGAUGAUGAAUAUGAACUAUUGGUGAAGUACAUUUGAGCCCACAGUCUACUGGCUUCUGCUUCAGAACCAUUCAGUCAGCCAGAUAUUUAAUUUUUCAGUGAGGCAGAGGAAAGGGGACCUGUGCUGGGGUUGCUAAACAGCGAUAUUUAUUCAUAAUUCAUUUUGCUUGGUUUUUUGAAUAUAGCGUUACUUUACAAUUAUAAAGUGCUUGGCCGUUUUCAGAUUUUCUAUUGAUGUUCGAAACAGUUUCAGGAGGUAGCUGUUGUUAUUACCAGUUUUACAGAUGAGAAACUGAGGUAUAGAGAGGUUAUAUUGCUUAAACUAGGUCUGCCAGAUUCCAAAGCUUAUGCUUUAAAAAAAAAAAAAAACUUUUAUUUUGAAAUAAUUGUAGAUUCACAUGAGUUUACAAAUACAUGUAUAGGUAAGUCCCAUGAAUUCUUUCCCCAACCUCCUCAAAUGUUAACAUCUCACACAACUAGAGUAUAGUAUUAAAAACAAGCAAAUGACUGGCACAAGCCACAGUGCUUAUUCAGAGUUCAUCAGCUAUAUGUGUGUGUGUGUGUGUGUGUGUGUGUGUGUGUAGCUGUAUGCAAUUUUGUCAUGUUCUUUUAUAUGCAUACACUGUUCUACCAAUUUAAAAUAUGAAGUCAGAUUA